UUCCCUCCCCUUCCCUCCCUUCUUGUCCUUUUCUUUCCCCCUCUCUUCUCUUCUCCCCUCUUCUUCUCCCCUCUUCUCCUUCCUUUCACGGAUCUGAACGCAGAAGGGGGAGAAGCGUAACUCCAGAUCGCUUCAGUCGCUCUGGCAGCUUGUGUCACUGGCUGAUCCAUGGGAAUCCAUCAGCAGCAAUCGGAAGCGUUCCAGCUGCUGUGGGACCAGUCAGGGAACAGUCUCAAACUGGGAAACGCUGACUUCCUUCCGCGGCUCAGACAGGUGACUUUCAAUUUCGCCCUGGCUGGGUUGUGUCCCCUUGCUCUGUCCCCACCUACACGGCAGUUUGGUUUAGAAGCAGCAGCACGGUUUGGCAGUAGUUCCACUACUUCCAUUUUCGGUGAUUUGGCUUGGCUCGCCAAGUGGUUUCUGUCAACAGAACACAAGAAGGAGAUUUUGGUUAGAAACAACUACAUGAGGAGCUCCUUUCCACAUGGGCAAUGAAUACUUAUCCUUUCCUAAUGGAGACUACAGUGGAAGAGAUAAGGACAGAUCAUUCCGAGAGAUUUUUCAGAGAAUUGUCCCUUGGGGGUGCUUAGUCCAGAGGACCAGAGUUAAUCUGUCCAAAGUACACCAUGGAAGCACUCUGAAUUACUUCCUAACAGAAGCAUGGCCUUACCAUGUCUGAUACGGCUUUGGCUGGUUUCAGUGUUCUUCUUCACUUCAUAAAUACCUAAAUUAAGUACUGUCCUAUCAAGCAAAUACCUUAUUCUCUUGAUAUCUCUGAGUUGAUGGAAGACCCAAGACACUUGGCUCUUCACAUCAUUGGAAGAACCAAGUGUACUUCCAAUAUUCACAGCUUCGGAGGAAAUGGAGAUGAGGUUGAGAGUGGAUGAAAAACACCAAGUGUUACUUCCCAUCUUCACAGCUUCUAAGCAAGUGGAGAUGAGGCUGUGCAAGAACCAAACAAACUGCUGAUCCAGAAGCAGCCUAAAGACUGUCUUUAACCAGGGCCUUGCAUUCUUCAUCUUUAUACCCUUACUCGCCUUCAAGGGCAUGAUCGUUAUCUUAUUGACUUCCUACCACUACAGCAACGCACCUGCUUCUCUCACAAAACUUACGGGUGGGAACUGGAAAGAUUCACCAGCAUUCUGUAUUUCACUCCUCAUCUCAAUUCUCUUUUGGCCUGCGAAGCUUUUCAGAUCAGAGAUGAAGAUCAGAUGUAAUCUGGAGUUUGGGAUACUGCAAAGGAAAAGAAGAAUCAUCCUGAGAACUCUUUUCAACCCCACUUGCAAGCGCCAAAGUCAAGAAUACCAAAAGGAAAAAGGAUGCCACUUGAUCAUGACCAAGAAGAACCAGCAAAAGUCGGGUGAAAAAUGAAAUGAAAAAUGUUAAGGCCAGGCAGCUUGCUCACUGCAAGUGCUAAUCUGAAAGCAGAUGGAGUGCAUCUUCAUACACUCCGUCCUGAGACACUCCACUCAACAGGCCAGCCCAGCUGAUGAAGCGCAUUGCUGUCCUGAAGUUUAAUGUGAUGGGCUACUUUCAAGUCUCUUGUUUAUGCUGUAGUACUUGAGGUCUAUGGCAGGACCACAGCACACUCUUAUUUGUCUACCCUUCUUUCUUGAUCGUGUGUGGGAAAGAGAGAACGUGCAGAGGCCCUCAGC